GACGAACGCUGGCGGCGUGCCUAAUACAUGCAAGUCGAGCGGACUAACGGGAGCUUGCUCCCGUUAGUUAGCGGCGGACGGGUGAGUAACACGUGGGCAACCUACCUGUAAGACUGGGAUAACUUCGGGAAACCGGAGCUAAUACCGGAUGACAUAAAGGAACUCCUGUUCCUUUAUUGAAAGAUGGCCUCGGCUAUCACUUACAGAUGGGCCCGCGGCGCAUUAGCUAGUUGGUGAGGUAACGGCUCACCAAGGCGACGAUGCGUAGCCGACAUGAGAGGGUGGUCGGCCACACUGGGACUGGGACACGGCCCAGACUCCUACGGGAGGCAGCAGUAGGGAAUCUUCCGCAAUGGACGAAAGUCUGACGGAGCAACGCCGCGUGAGCGAUGAAGGCCUUCGGGUCGUAAAGCUCUGUUGUUAGGGAAGAAUAAGUGCUAGUUGAAUAAGCUGGCACCUUGACGGUACCUAACCAGAAAGCCACGGCUAACUACGUGCCAGCCGCCGCAGUAACAC
rnacentral:rRNA from 1 species